UUGCCGUGGCCUUCCUGAGUACUGCAACCUCGGCUGCAGUUGCCCAAGGGAAAAAACGAAUAGCGAGGUGUUUCUCACCACCAUUACUAAGUCAGCGUACUGAGCAAAGUUGCUGUAUCCCCAGGUCCCAGUCGGGCAUUCGAAUUUCCCAGAGGGGAAAAAAAAAAAAAGGCAAUGGCAAUCUUCCUGUAAGCAGGAAAAUGCAUUUUACGAACUUGGGACACACCCAGACAACAAACGCAACUCCAAACCUGAAAAACUUCAUUGUAAUGGAGUCAGAGCUUUGAAGCUGCUCUCUGUUUUCAGUGUGCUGAAGUGAAUCCACCUUGAAUGGCAGACUCCGAGGGAUCUGGAUCAUGCUCGGUUAGACCCUUUUCUGCAUUCAUGUGCCAUCUUUACCCAGUUCAGAGAAGCCAGAGAACCUUCUUCCAUGGGAAAGCAACAGUUCCCAAAGCUUGAGAGAGCUCCUGGCACAGCUUUUGAAGGUAAAAAUAGCAUGAAAUACAUUCAGUAGCAAAGCAGUUGGAAUCCCGGAGAAAUGGAGAGCCCUGUAUUCCUGGAGGAUUAGCCUGUAUGUGUUAAGUCACGAUCCUGAAAUAAAUUAUGUAGACUUCUGACUUGG